rnacentral:lncRNA from 1 species
GUGCCCUUAUAAUUAAGGUUCACAAUGAGCUUGUGAUGCCUUUGUGUGAAGAUUUGAGACUUUUAAAGAAAAAUAACAUUGCCCUUAAUACAGGAAUUGCCUUUCAGAGGAAGAAACGAAUAUUUAGAGCACCAACUACGAGACAGCCCAUUUGCUCAACUGGAGGAGAACAAAGCCAAAUAAGAACAGCAGCCCAUGCUGUGGCUAUCUUGAAAGCAGCUCAGGGAGACAGACCUAUAAACAACGGUGGUGGAGGCAGGAAGAAGAAGCUACUAUAAAUGCUCAGAUAACGAAUCGGCGCGUUUUGCUGAGUGAGCCUAAAGCCGUGAAGGAU